UUUUAACCUAGCUUUAACAGGUGUGUAUUACACAAUUUUAAUCGACUUCAAUGGAGGCAACCUGUUUCAUGUCGCGUGGUUCUUUUCCUUCACCUCAUGCAUUAAAAUCAUGUAAUGCACACCUAGCCAUGGAUUAGCCCUUAUGUGUGAAGAGGGUCAUAGGUUACACAAAGUAUUAAAUGAAGGGGGCACUAUUAUUAUUAUUUUUUUAAACUUAAGGUUAGAAUUUUGAACGAAAAACCAAAAUGAUAAAGAGGGCAAACUCUGUACAGUAUUUAAACAUGAUUGUUUCUAUGCUUUUUUUCCAGAAAUGCAUGUUAUUGUGCAAGGGGUAGUUGCAUGGACUAUCAGUGGAGGGUCAGAAAGCUCUGAGAUUUCAUUAUAAAGAUCUUCAUUUGAGUUUUGAAGAUGAACAAAAGACUUGUGGGUUUGGAACGACAUGAGGGUGAGUAAUUGAUGACAGAAUUUUCAUUUUUGGGUGAACCGACCUUUUAACUUCUUUUACCUGGAGUGUUCAAAGACAUUGAGUACCUUUACAUGGACAACAAUAAUCAGAUUUUAACAUGAUUAAGACAAUACGCUGAUUAAGAAUCUACCUUGUAAACAGAGAUUUUUGAUUAACUUAAUCCGGCUUAAGUCAUUAAAUUGAAUUAAGACGUGGAGUAUUCCUAUUUUAGUCACAUUAUUGAAGUGCAGUAGACAUGUAAACACCUUAAUCACAUUAUUACCAUUGUGUAGGACUUUUCACUGCAGAACUUUUUUUUUUUUUUUUUUUUACGACAGGAUACACACACAGCAGUGGUCAACCGUUUGACGGCAAAUAAAAGCUUCAACACCACCAUGGUCUGUAUGCGGUCGCCGUGAUUUUGCCAAGAACAACAAGGAUGUUUAUCCAGGAACAUGUUGUACUUGGUGAAAUCACGCUCACCGUCUGUAUGCAUGUACAAAUGCUUGAAGGUUUCAUAAAAUUAAAAAUGAAACACCCAAAACUGUACAUGGCAUCAUCACGAAGAUGAACUAUAUGUUUAUAUGUGAAAUUCUG
ensembl:lncRNA